UGUCAAUGAAUUCACUAACAAUAACUUUUAAUGACAUGUUUUUACAUAAGCCUACAGAUUAUACAGUAGAGCUGUGUGUGUUGUGUUUGGAGGAGGGACUACAUCAUUUAAAGAAGUUAGAAGUUCCUGGUUUGUCAGUGAAGAAAGUCAGAGAGUCAGCAGUAAACCACCAGAGUCUCAACAUGAAAGUCCGUCACACUUCUGCUUCUUCUUCCUCUCUCUGCAGGAUGGAAACACUGGUCUCACCAAUGCCCAGAUCCCAUCUGUCCAUACAGGAACUGAUGUUCUUUUGCAAGAGAGAAUGUAAACCAGAGGACAUCCUCAUUCACACAACUGGUGUCAGAGAUCAGAGAGGCAGAUACAGCAUCACAUAAGAAGGAUAUUCUUUAUAUUCUAAAUAUGUUUUUGUGAGCAUCAUACAGCUGACCAAGUCUGACUCGGGACGGUACAGGUGUGGUUUAGGUGGAUUUAAUACAGAGUUUGAAAUCAUUGUUGUAGAUGGUGAGUUUCUACUAAAAGUCAUGAAAAUGUUUCUUUCCUGUCUGAAGAAAAGCUUCACUGUUCACUGGUUGAUUUACUUUAAUGCUCAUUUAAAAACAUCCACACAAUAGUUAAUUUGAGUAUUGGUGGACCAUAGACUUACAAACUUAUUGUUUCAAGUGAGGGGGGGGGGCGUUCCGACAGUCAUGAGGUCCAGGCUCCUAAGCUCAAAGGGUCCCGUGUCACGGGAGUGAAUCCAAUUCCAUGAACUGGCAGGUAUUCUGUGGUUAGCAUUCAGCACAAGGAUUCAGACAGAAAACAGGCUGGCGUGUUCAUACUGUAUGGUACAACAAUCCGGCAGGGACUGAAAGGUUGAGCUGGUCUUUAAAGGUGAGUUGAUUGCAGGAUGAAACACCGGUGUGCUAAUUAACAGGAUGCGUCGCAGGUGAGUUGACUGGAGCUCAGGUGACCACGCCCACCAGCAGCCCCAGAGCAUGAGGGAGGGAGCAGACGCAGAGACAGACAAAAAAACAAAACACACCAAGCACACCACAAACCAAAGGGAAAAAGAACUCAAAAACUACAAUCACACAAAUACCAACAGGCAGGUCAGGGUCAUGACCGGGGGUUCGUGACAUCAGUGUGAAAGUUUGUGACUCUGAAGUGAAUGUUUCUAUUAACAGGUGCAGUUAUUUACGAGUAUUUUUCCAUGUGUUCACCUGCCAUCACAGAAUAUUUAGACCACUUUUUCAUAUUCAAAGAUCAAUGAUCAUAUUGUGUGCAGAGGCUGAGAUUAUGAUGCUCUGAAUCUUUGCUGGAAGAAUCCAAAUCAGUCACAGACUGGUAGAACUGGGCAGCUCCCAGUGUAACUGGGGAUCACAUUUGAAACUGUAAUUAUUGUGAUCAGACUGCAUCAUGUUAAGUACAGAUAGUAACUAUUGAUUGUUCAUCUUUUCAACAGCACUGCUGGAUGGAAGUCCUCCUGAAGAACAAUUCCUCUAUACAAGAGCUGGAGGAAAUAUUGUAGUUGGAUCCUCCUUUAUUUUCUUUGGAAGCAGGAAGUACUUCUGCAAGGAAGAAUGUGAAGAGAAAGACAUUCUUGUUGAAACAACUGGUUACACAGCUGAGAGAGGCAGAUACAGCAUCAGAUAUACACAACGAUCUCUGACAGAUGUAUCUGUGUAUGUGAGCAUCACACAGCUGACCGAGUCUGACUCAGGACGGUACAGGUGUGGUCUGGAAAGACGUUUAUCACCAGAUUCCUACUGGGAGUUUGAGAUCAUUGUCACAGAUGGUGAGUUUACAUUUAAAAUAAAAUGAAAAUAACUGAGAAUGAAAAUGUUUGUUCAUGUCUCUCCAGGUCUGAAGAAAGUUUUCACUAACAGCUGCUGAUGUAAAUCCCCAGUGAACACGGAUGAAUGUAAAUGUAAAACAGUUCAGCUCACACACAGACACAGUCUGUACAUUAAUUUCUCUCACCAGGUUUUCUGCACGUUUUUGUUGUUCACAUCUCUGUUUUUUCAACAUCAGACCCAUCAGCCUCCCACCAACACAGAUUUCUCAGACUGACCAGCAGGAGACUGGGACAGCAUCACCUCGAGGAAAACCCAAUGAGAGUGCUAAACUCUGGGCUAUGCAUCGUGCUGAGCUGGAGCCUGAACCUGUACCUCAGCCUGCAUCUGAGCAGGGUGGAGCAGAGAAGAUUCAUUCCUGAUUCUCUUUUGUCUGUUUCUCGCAGUGACUUGGUUGCAGAGCAGAGAGCUGAUACCUCUCUGAGUUUGCUGUUUGAUUGUGUUUUCACUGCUAUUGAUGGUAAGAGUGUUGCAAGUGGCUAAUUGCUACAAGACCAACUGUUGGUGAGGAAAUCGUUUUUGCAUGAGGAAAACGUUGUUGGUAAUCCUGUGUUUCAGAUUGUUGUUCCUUCAAAGUUUCGUGAAGAAGUGUUGAAGACUUCUCAUGAUCAGUCAGGACAUUCUGUGCUACUUUUUUGGCAUAGAUAAAAAAGGGAUGUGUCACUGUAUAUCAAAACAUGUCGUACAUGUCAGAUGACUGGGAAGCCAAGUCAGAGUGUUAAGCCAGCUCCUCUGUGUCCUAUUCCAGUUAUCUUGCAGCCGUUCGAGCACCUGAUAAUUGACUGUGUUGGACCCCUACCUUGUUCUAAACCUGGUAGCAAUUACCUGCUUACAGUGAUGUGUUAUCAGAUAUCCGGCUGCAUAUCCAUUGCGUUCAAUCACUGCCAAGUCAGUGGUAAAUGCGCUGACCCAGUUCAUGUCCAUCUUUGGGUUCUCAAAAAUUGUUCAGUGAUUAAGGCUCAAAUUUUUCGUCUCAUUUGUUUGCAUAAAUUUUAAAGCAACAACAGGUUAAACAUAACGAGGCCUCCCUAUACCAUGGUCAGAGUCAAGGAGCUCUGAUGUCUCUGUUGCGUGGUUAAUGUGUUGAGUUGAACCAGAAUUGGGAAGAAGGCUUGCCGUGGUUAUUGUUAGCCGCCAGAGAGGUUGUGCAGGAAAGCACUGGUUUUAGCCCCAAUGAACUGGUGUUUGGGCAUACAGUGCGUGGGCCGCUCACUCUGCUGCAUGAUGUUGGGAAAUCAGAACCUCCCAGCAACUUGGCUGACUAUGUUGAUGGUUUCCGACAUCGGUUGUAUACUGCUGGGGAGAUGGCUAAAGAGAAGCUGACCUCCUCACAAGGGAAAAUGAAGCACCUGUAUGAUUAUAAAGCUGUGCAUCACCAGUACAUAACAUUCUUACGCGUAAUAUUGAAUGAAUUCUAAAGUAGUGGAUUGCACAAUUUUUAUUUAAAUGUACUACUAUAUACACAAAAGUGUAAUAACAUGUGGUUUGCAAACACUUUAAACAAAUAAGGUGCUUUUUACCAGCAGUAUUCCCUUUACACAUUAGCAUAAAUAUAUUAAACCAAACCUAUUUGCCAGGGAAUUACCUUUUAUCAAGUUACCAUCAGAGUCCAGUUUUCUUGUUUUUUUUUUCUGAACAGGUAUCAGCAUCAGGUAUCUUCGAUCAGGGAACAGCAUAACCAGUCUGUUCAGUAGGGUUGGGACGAAGUCUACAAAACUACAUUGAAACAUCGGGAUGGAUGAUAGCGGGGUCGGUGCGUGUGUUCACUCGCACAGACUUCACUUGGUUAAAAACUUGAAAUGACUAUAUAUAUAUAUAUAGAGAGAGAGAGAGAGAGAGAGAGAGAGAGAGAGAGAGAGGUUGGCUUUCUGUUUCCAUUGGGAAGCGAACCUGGUCUCUGGGGUGUAGGUCGCCUAAUCAUCUAACCAUCCACCCAACCCAUUGCUUCCAAAAUAGGAUUUUUCUGGUUAUUUAUAUCCUUAUAUAACAUUAUAUUCCUUAAUACAGGAAACUCUUUUUCUGACCAUGAUUAUGCUUAAUAAGGUGUACACUUAAAAUAUAUUAAAUAUUGAAGUUGAAUAUAUUUAAGUUGAAUAUAUUGAAGUAUGUUGGAUGUGCAGCCACAUCCUUCACACCUCUUGUAGUGGUUCUUGAAGAAGUGUGUUCUUCACGAUGUGGCUGCUCUAAAGUGCGCUAAAAAUACAUUUGGCUGAAGUCACUUUCUUGUGAAAUCCUACACCUUUAUUUUUACUUUGAAAGAGGAAAUGGAAAUUUUUACACUGACCACAAACAUUACAACUACUGUGAAUCAUAAGUUCUGAAGGCUAUUUUCAAAAUGUAUCUGAUAAACAUCAGCACCACCUCAGCAGCAUUUAACGGUCACCGCAACCUUAUUUUUAAUUAUGUAGUUCAGAGGAUCAGAGCAAAAUAAAAAGGGUCACUACCAGUUUUCCAGAUCGUCUGCGUUGCUGAGGUGUUGUAGUGUUCCAGUUUCAGCUGCUGUCUGUCUGUGAUUAUCUGACCAUCGACCAGUCAGGUCAGUUUAUUUAGAACAUUUUUUGGUGAUAUUUCUGCCUGAUCACAAGUCUUGUGGCUUAAUUUCAUUUUCCAAACGGUCUCAAGGUAAGAUAAUGUUACUACCAAUGGAGCAAUAAUGCACAGCAGUUUAAAUAGACUAAAUUAAAUUAUGACAUUAGUCUCGUGAUAUUAGCCUUUAGUCUCAACAUGUCAGAGAACACAGAUAUGUGGGAGAGAUUUUGAAUAUGCAGAAGGUUUUGAACAUGAGCAGAAAACCUGCUGAAACACAGGGCCCAGUUUUUCAAAAGUAAUCUGAUCGGAUUUCGGCUAUCGGAUUGGAUCAAAUCUGUUCAAAAGAAAAAAAAGGUUUUUGAAAUCGGAUCAGAUCACCUAAUCCAAUCCUGGGUUUGAUCUGGAUCAAACCUUCAGUUUGUGUUGUAACAAUUGCAUCCCUCAUUGCAGCUCCAGUCAGUCCCUCAUUCAGAUCACCUCCUAAAAGCUAAAAGCUUCUCUCUGAACUCUCAAUGAUCUUUAUUUUAACUAUUGGACUUUAGGACAACACAUGCUCAAAAUAUCCACAGCGUA